rnacentral:rRNA from 1 species
GACAGAGGGUGCAACCGUUGUUCGGAAUUACUGGGCGUAAAGCGCGUGUAGGCGGCCCUGCAAGUCGGGUGUGAAAGUCAGAGGCUCAACCUUUGAAUGUCAGCGGAUACUGCCGGGCUAGAGUCCGGAAGAGGCGAGUGGAACUCCUGGUGUAGCGGUGGAAUGCGCAGAUAUCAGGAAGAACACCAACGGCGAAGGCAGCUCGCUGGGACGGAACUGACGCUAAGGCGCGAAAGCGUGGGGAGCGAACAGG